rnacentral:misc_RNA from 1 species
UCUGAAAACAGACCCACAAUUCCUGUGUCCUCAUCAGAGGCAGAGAAGCUGGAGACUCAUCAUGUCCAUCAGGUAUAUGAGGAAAUAGCCUCCCACUUCAGUGGCACCAGACACUCUCCCUGGCCCAGAAUCAGCGAGUUCCUACUCAAACAGCCCCCCGGGUCAUUGAUGGCUGAUAUUGGGUGUGGGAACGGGAAAUACCUCGGGAUAAACAAAUCUCUCUACCAGAUAGGGUCCGACAGAAGCUUCAAACUGACAGAGAUCUGUAGGGAGCGUGGAUUCCAGGCAUUUGUAGCCGACGUUCUCUCUGUUCCUUUACGAUCGGAAUCUUUUGAUGUCUGCAUCUGUAUCGCUGUCAUUCAUCAUCUGUCCACAGAGGAGAGGCGAAUCCAUGCAAUAUCUGAGCUGGUCCGCGUCCUUCGACCCGGGGGUCAGGCUCUUGUUUAUGUGUGGGCGAUGGAACAGGAAAUAAACAAAGUCAAAUCAAAGUACCUCAAGGAGAAAGAGUUUGAUGGGUCACCAAGUGUCAGAGACGACUCCAACAGCCACGGAAAUGGCUGUGAACAGACUGGUGAAGACUCAAAACAACAACACAUUAGUGAUGAUAGCGGUGAUAUUUCUAGCAAUUCAAAACACCAAGAAUGUGAUGUAGUCAAAAGUGAUAACUCUUGUCAAUGGACAGAGAGACAGACCACAGAAAUAUGUGAUGAAAAUAGUCAUGGAAUUCGACAGAACAGUGAUAGUAAAAUGAAAACACAGACACACUUUGGUGACAACAAACAACUGGAUUCCUCGAAUCUGCCUAAUAAGUCUUCAGAACAAUAUGGUAAACAACCUAAGGAACUAGUGGUCCAUAAGAACCGGACCAACUUCCAGCAACAGGACCUGUUAGUCCCGUGGCAGCUGAAGGGUGGAGCUAGGAGUGAGGCUGGGGGAGGGGAGCAGGUGUUUCAUCGGUUCUACCACGUGUUUCAGCGCGGUGAGCUAGAGAGGCUGUGUGGUCAUGUGACUGGCUGUCAGGUUGUCAACGGUUACUAUGACCAGGGAAAUUGGGCAGUUAUACUGCAGAAAAUGUAGUUAAAGCAGACAUAUUAAAUGAUAAAACUU